AGGUUGUAAUAGAGGUGCCAGCCAUAGAUUCUGCCUUCCAGUGAAGAUGAACAUCCCAGGGCUCCCUGCCUAGCCAUGGCUCCCUUCCUGCUCUGUUCAGCACAGUGGAGACUGGACAGUCUGCCAGAUGCAGGACUUCUCCCUGCAUGCCUUGUAAACUAGGAGCUCCACCAUGGAUACCUCUCUGGAGGCUGAAUUUUCUCGUAUUCUUCAAGAAAAAUCAUGGAGGCUAUUUUAUUCUGUGCCUUCAAGACGGGCUCUGAGAGCGAAGGUGGGGAGAAGAAGAAGAAGCACAGAAUUUGUUAUCAGCCUGCACUCACUCCUCCACACUCUGCUGGAACAGAGAACUCCACUGUGUUGUCUGGGCACGGAUGGGGCAGAACACGGCACUCCUUUGCUUUUUAGUUAGUUUAGCUAGCUGAGGCAGUCAGGUUUUCCCAGGUUUUCUUUCCCUUUUCUUGGAUGUGUUUGAACCUGCUCUGGACUGGGACCCGGGGAAACACCGAGAGCUCACACUUUGUGGCCCACCGGGGCCUACUGUGGGCAGCAGCCUUUCCCAGUGCUGGAGUGACUGAUAACAGAGACACCACGCACCGGAGAGACUUUCUGAAUUUGUCAUCUCUUCAGAGCAAUGAAUGAGUUUUGUCAUCUGAUAUUGUUAAUUUUUUUUGUGCUGGGGACUGCUUUGCCUGUUAAAUAAACAGGUUUUUUCCACUUC